GGAAAUUUCUCUCUAAAUCGUAACCAAUCGGAGGAUUCGAUGAUGUAUAUUCAAUCAUGGUCAUCGACGGUGAAUCUUGGUCAUCAAAUCAGUGAGGUGGUCAUUCAAAACUGGAGAGCAAUCUCGCCAGAUCUCUGAGUUUCGUAUGAUAAAUCGGUGUUAAUCGUUCACCAAUCAGGUUGUCAUGGUAUCUAUGGAGAAACUUGGACAUUUAAAUUGAGAGAGAAUAUGCUACAUAUUCAUGGUUGAAGAAAAGUAAUGCAUCGUCUUGUAGUUUUAUAUGACUUUUUGAUAUAGAUUAGGUAAAAAUUUUGUAUAUAGAUUCGUAGUAUCUAUUUUGUGAUAAAAGCA